UACGGAGGGAGCUAGCGUUGUUCGGAAUUACUGGGCGUAAAGCGCACGUAGGCGGCUUAGCAAGUCGGAUGUGAAAUCCCUCGGCUCAACCAAGGAAGUGCAUCCGAAACUGCCGUGCUUGAGUACUAAAGAGGGUCGCGGAAUUCCCGGUGUAGAGGUGAAAUUCGUAGAUAUCGGGAGGAACACCGGUGGCGAAGGCGGCGACCUGGGACGAUACUGACGCUGAGGUGCGAAAGCGUGGGGAGCAAACAGG
rnacentral:rRNA from 1 species